AACUUUCUGAAUCCGUGCAGAGCUUUCGUCAGACACCAAACCAUUAUAGCUAGUCAGACUUCCAAGAUAAGUGAAGUU
rnacentral:pre_miRNA from 1 species